rnacentral:lncRNA from 1 species
UGUCCUUCCCAAGCUCUGCAUCCGGAAAAUCAACUCACUCUGUAGCGCCUUCUUGUGGAAAGGAACAGUUGAGGGACAUCACACUGCUAGAAUAUCUUGGGAUCAGGUCACUAUGCAAAAAUCGGAAGGAGGACUUAGUAUUAGAAACCUAUAUGUCUGGAACAAAGCUUGCAUCAUCAAACUGCUAUGGCUACUUUUCUUUCAAUCAGGGUCAGUUUGGGUCGCCUGGUUCAAGGAACGUGUCCUCAAGGGUAAUGUCAACAAUCUGUGGUCAGCAAAACUAAAGCAAACCAACUCUUGGUUUGCAAAUAAGAUAAUUAAAUCGAGAGAGGAAGCUUACGAUUGGAUCAAACUCAGAGUGGGGAAUGGCAGAAGUUGCCUCUUCUGGACAGAUAACUGGUCUCCAUUUGGGAAUCUCCAAAAAUUUCUACAAUCUGUGGGAGACAGGCGACUUGGAAUUGCAGCGAAUACUACUUUGGCAAAUCUAUACUGCAAUGGCGGUUGGAUGCUCCCAUCUCCCCGAUCUGAAAGGCAGCUCUCCCUACACAUUCAUAUGACAACGCUUCAACUUACAAGAGAAGAGGAUAACUAUGAAUGGGAAAUAGAUGGAAAAGUCUCCACAAAAUACUCAACGGGUCAGGUCUACCACCUACUUCGGAAUACAGUACCAAAAGUACCUUGGAGGUCCAUUGUAUGGAACCAGGGGGGAACGCCAAGGCACAGCUUCUUUACUUGGAUGUUGAUCUUGAACAGGUGUCCCACUCGGGAUCGGAUCGCUAACUGGGGCCUCACCACAGACACUCGAUGUCUUCUCUGUGACGCUCUGCCUGAAUCUCGUGACCACAUUUAC